rnacentral:rRNA from 1 species
AUACGUAGGGGGCGAGCGUUGUCCGGAAUGAUUGGGCGUAAAGGGCGCGUAGGCGGCGCGGUAAGUCUGGAGUGAAAGUCCUGCUUUCAAAGUGGGAAUUGCUUUGGAUACUGCCGCGCUUGAGUGCAGGAGAGGUUAUCGGAAUUCCCGGUGUAGCGGUGAAAUGCGUAGAGAUCGGGAGGAACACCAGUGGCGAAGGCGGGUAACUGGACUGCAACUGACGCUGAGGCGCGAAAGUGUGGGGAGCAAACAGGAUUAGAUACCCUGGUAGUCCACACUGUAAACGAUGAAUGCUAGGUGUAAGAGGUAUCGACCCCUUUUGUGCCGGAGUCAACACAAUAAGCAUUCCGCCUGGGGAGUACGGCCGCAAGGUUGAAACUCAAAUGAAUUGACGGGG